UAUAAAAGUGAAUUUGUUGUUUCGUCUCCCCCAGAUCCAGUCAUCAAUAAUAAGCUACAGAUGAAAUGGAUUCGUCAUGGUGUCACACUCAUGUCGAUGCCAUGCGGUGCACGCGAAUCUUUGACAAAAUAAGGAGGCUAAUUGCCCAUACAGCUCAUUCUGUCUGUGAGGAUGAUUGAAUUUGGGCAACCAAAAAUCAAUGGCUGGAUGUACAUAUUCCAACGUCUACGGCGUUCUUUGGGUCUUUCGAGACAUAAAGAGCCCACCAGAUGUAUGAAUAAAUGUGAAGGGGGGGUACCACUUUGAAAACGCUGAAGUGGCUUCUGUUCCAUUCUCUCUCUGUGAAUGUUACAAUUCAAUUAGCCUGAGUUGUGUAUUUGGAAUUGCAAGGGUUGCUUUAGUGUCUACCAACAAGAUUUCGUAUAUAAAAAGAAUAUGUAUUUAAUCUUUUGAUUAAAAA